AAGAGCAUAGUUAAAUGGUAUAACAAUUGAUUUCAGUCCAAUCAUUAUAGGUUCGAUUCCUAUUGCUCUUG
rfam:Yarrowia lipolytica complete mitochondrial genome, strain W29